GGUUAAGCGACUAAGCGUACACGGUGGAUGCCCUGGCAGUCAGAGGCGAUGAAGGACGUGCUAAUCUGCGAAAAGCGUCGGUAAGGUGAUAUGAACCGUUAUAACCGGCGAUGUCCGAAUGGGGAAACCCAGUGCAAUUCGUUGCACUAUCGUUAACUGAAUACAUAGGUUAACGAGGCGAACCGGGGGAACUGAAACAUCUAAGUACCCCGAGGAAAAGAAAUCAACCGAGAUUCCCCCAGUAGCGGCGAGCGAACGGGGAGCAGCCCAGAGUCUGAAUCAGCUUGUGUGUUAGUGGAACGGUCUGGAAAGUCCGACGGUACAGGGUGAUAGUCCCGUACACCAAAAUGCACAGGUUGUGAACUCGAAGAGUAGGGCGGGACACGUGGUAUCCUGUCUGAAUAUGGGGGGACCAUCCUCCAAGGCUAAAUACUCCUGACUGACCGAUAGUGAACCAGUACCGUGAGGGAAAGGCGAAAAGAACCCCGGCGAGGGGAGUGAAAAAGAACCUGAAACCGUGUACGUACAAGCAGUGGGAGCACCUUCGGGUGUGACUGCGUACCUUUUGUAUAAUGGGUCAGCGACUUAUAUUCUGUAGCAAGGUUAACCGUAUAGGGGAGCCGCAGGGAAACCGAGUCUUAACUGGGCGUUAAGUUGCAGGGUAUAGACCCGAAACCCGGUGAUCUAGCCAUGGGCAGGUUGAAGGUUGGGUAACACUAACUGGAGGACCGAACCGACUAAUGUUGAAAAAUUAGCGGAUGACUUGUGGCUGGGGGUGAAAGGCCAAUCAAACCGGGAGAUAGCUGGUUCUCCCCGAAAGCUAUUUAGGUAGCGCCUCGUGAACUCAUCUUCGGGGGUAGAGCACUGUUUCGGCUAGGGGGUCAUCCCGACUUACCAACCCGAUGCAAACUACGAAUACCGAAGAAUGUUAUCACGGGAGACACACGGCGGGUGCUAACGUCCGUCGUGAAGAGGGAAACAACCCAGACCGCCAGCUAAGGUCCCAAAGUCAUGGUUAAGUGGGAAACGAUGUGGGAAGGCACAGACAGCCAGGAUGUUGGCUUAGAAGCAGCCAUCAUUUAAAGAAAGCGUAAUAGCUCACUGGUCGAGUCGGCCUGCGCGGAAGAUGUAACGGGGCUAAACCAUGCACCGAAGCUGCGGCAGCGACACUAUGUGUUGUUGGGUAGGGGAGCGUUCUGUAAGCCUGCGAAGGUGUGCUGUGAGGCAUGCUGGAGGUAUCAGAAGUGCGAAUGCUGACAUAAGUAACGAUAAAGCGGGUGAAAAGCCCGCUCGCCGGAAGACCAAGGGUUCCUGUCCAACGUUAAUCGGGGCAGGGUGAGUCGACCCCUAAGGCGAGGCCGAAAGGCGUAGUCGAUGGGAAACAGGUUAAUAUUCCUGUACUUGGUGUUACUGCGAAGGGGGACGGAGAAGGCUAUGUUAGCCGGGCGACGGUUGUCCCGGUUUAAGCAUGUAGGCUGGUUGUCCAGGCAAAUCCGGAUAAUCAAGGCUGAGGUGUGAUGACGAGGCACUACGGUGCUGAAGUAACAAAUGCCCUGCUUCCAGGAAAAGCCUCUAAGCAUCAGGUAACAUCAAAUCGUACCCCAAACCGACACAGGUGGUCAGGUAGAGAAUACCAAGGCGCUUGAGAGAACUCGGGUGAAGGAACUAGGCAAAAUGGUGCCGUAACUUCGGGAGAAGGCACGCUGGUGUGUAGGUGAAGCCCCUGCGGGUGGAGCUGAGACCAGUCGAAGAUACCAGCUGGCUGCAACUGUUUAUUAAAAACACAGCACUGUGCAAACACGAAAGUGGACGUAUACGGUGUGACGCCUGCCCGGUGCCGGAAGGUUAAUUGAUGGGGUUAUCCGUAAGGAGAAGCUCUUGAUCGAAGCCCCGGUAAACGGCGGCCGUAACUAUAACGGUCCUAAGGUAGCGAAAUUCCUUGUCGGGUAAGUUCCGACCUGCACGAAUGGCGUAAUGAUGGCCAGGCUGUCUCCACCCGAGACUCAGUGAAAUUGAACUCGCUGUGAAGAUGCAGUGUACCCGCGGCAAGACGGAAAGACCCCGUGAACCUUUACUAUAGCUUGACACUGAACAUUGAGCCUUGAUGUGUAGGAUAGGUGGGAGGCUUUGAAGCGUGGACGCCAGUCUGCGUGGAGCCAACCUUGAAAUACCACCCUUUAAUGUUUGAUGUUCUAACGUUGGCCCCUUACCGGGGUUGCGGACAGUGUCUGGUGGGUAGUUUGACUGGGGCGGUCUCCUCCCAAAGCGUAACGGAGGAGCACGAAGGUUAGCUAAUCCUGGUCGGACAUCAGGAGGUUAGUGCAAUGGCAUAAGCUAGCUUGACUGCGAGCGUGACGGCGCGAGCAGGUGCGAAAGCAGGUCAUAGUGAUCCGGUGGUUCUGAAUGGAAGGGCCAUCGCUCAACGGAUAAAAGGUACUCCGGGGAUAACAGGCUGAUACCGCCCAAGAGUUCAUAUCGACGGCGGUGUUUGGCACCUCGAUGUCGGCUCAUCACAUCCUGGGGCUGAAGUAGGUCCCAAGGGUAUGGCUGUUCGCCAUUUAAAGUGGUACGCGAGCUGGGUUUAGAACGUCGUGAGACAGUUCGGUCCCUAUCUGCCGUGGGCGCUGGAGAAUUGAGGGGGCUGCUCCUAGUACGAGAGGACCGGAGUGGACGCAUCACUGGUGUUCGGGUUGUCAUGCCAAUGGCACUGCCCGGUAGCUAAAUGCGGAAGAGAUAAGUGCUGAAAGCAUCUAAGCACGAAACUUGCCCCGAGAUGAGUUCUCCCUGAGACUUUAAGUCUCCUGAAGGAACGUUGAAGACGACGACGUUGAUAGGCCGGGUGUGUAAGCGCAGCGAUGCGUUGAGCUAACCGGUACUAAUGAACCGUGAGGCUUAACCUU
rnacentral:rRNA from 1 species